rnacentral:rRNA from 1 species
CAGCCGCCACGGUAAUACGAAGGGUGCAAGCGUUAAUCGGAAUUACUGGGCGUAAAGCGUGCGUAGGCGGUUUGUUAAGUCUGUUGUGAAAUCCCCAGGCUCAACCUGGGAAUGGCAAUGGAUACUGGCAAGCUAGAGUGUGUCAGAGGAUGGUGGAAUUCCCGGUGUAGCGGUGAAAUGCGUAGAGAUCGGGAGGAACAUCAGUGGCGAAGGCGGCCAUCUGGGACAACACUGACGCUGAGGCACGAAAGCGUGGGGAGCAAACAGGAUUAGAUACCCCCGUAGUCCCUGUCUCUUAUAC